CGACAACGAUUUUCCGUUAGCGUCAGACAAAUCAAACCACGCCCAAACCGUGCCAUAAAAUUAAUGGCAUCUGGUGUGACUUUUUCUGCAGCCAUAAU
rnacentral:antisense_RNA from 1 species